rnacentral:rRNA from 1 species
ACGCUAGCGGCAGGCUUAACACAUGCAAGUCGAGGGGUAACAUUGUGCUUGCACAGAUGACGACCGGCGCACGGGUGCGUAACGCGUAUAGAACCUACCUUUUACAGAGGAAUAGCCUUUAGAAAUGAAGAUUAAUACCUUAUAGUAUUGUAGACUGGCAUCAGUUUAUAAUUAAAGAUUUAUCGGUAAAAGAUGGCUAUGCGUCCUAUUAGUUAGUUGGUAAGGUAACGGCUUACCAAGACAGCGAUAGGUAGGGGUCCUGAGAGGGAGAUCCCCCACACUGGUACUGAGACACGGACCAGACUCCUACGGGAGGCAGCAGUGAGGAAUAUUGGACAAUGGAGGAGACUCUGAUCCAGCCAUGCCGCGUGUAGGAAGAAUGCCCUAUGGGUUGUAAACUACUUUUAUACAGGAAGAAACACUGGUAUGUAUACCAGCUUGACGGUACUGUAAGAAUAAGGACCGG